UACGUAGGGUGCGAGCGUUAAUCGGAAUUACUGGGCGUAAAGCGUGCGCAGGCGGUGAGCUGUGUCCGAUGUGAAAGCCCCGGGCUUAACCUGGGAAUGGCAUUGGAAACUGGCUCGCUGGAGUGUGGCAGAGGGGGGGUGGAAUUCCGCGUGUAGCAGUGAAAUGCGUAGAGAUGCGGAGGAACACCGAUGGCGAAGGCAGCCCCCCCUGGGCUAACACUGACGCUCAGGCACGAAAGCGUGGGGGAGCAAACAGG
rnacentral:rRNA from 1 species